AGCCUGUAUACCUCCGUCGUAAGCUUACCAUAUGAACGACUUUUAGUGAGCCAUAAGAUUAUUACAUCAACACGUCAGGUCAAGGUGCAGCCCACAAAGUGGAAAGAAAUGGGCUACAAUUUCUAACCUAGAACACACGAAAGACUACAUGAAACACAGCCAUGAAGGUGGAUUUAGUAGUAAAAAGAAAAUAGAGCGUUCUUUUUAACCAGGCGCUGGGACGCGUACACACCGCCCGUCACCCUCUUCAAACGCCAACAAAAGUUUUUAACACAACUAAGCAUAAUAGAAGAGGUAAGUCGUAACACGGUAAGCGUACUGGAAAGUGCGCUUGGACUAACAA
rnacentral:rRNA from 1 species